GUGUUCAUUUCGAUAGCACAAAGACUAAAAUUGGAAUGAUAUAGAGAAGAUUAGCAUGGCCCCUGCACAGGGAUGACACACAAGUUCCUAGAGCAUGCCAGAAAAGAC
rfam:Erinaceus europaeus unplaced genomic scaffold scaffold00039, whole genome shotgun sequence